rnacentral:rRNA from 1 species
AAUCAACGCUGGCGGCGUGCCUAACACAUGCAAGUCGAACGAGAAAGUGGAGCAAUCCAUGAGUAAAGUGGCGACCGGGUGAGUAACACGUGACUAACCUACCUUCAAGUGGGGGAUAACCUCGGGAACCGGGGCGUAAUACCGCAUAACAUCUUUGGGGCGGGAAGAACCGGAGAUCAAAGGAGCAAUUCGCUGGAAGAGGGGGUCGGCGGCUGAUUAGCUAGUUGGCGGGGGUAAUGGCCCACCAAGGCAGAGAUCGGUAGCCGGCCUGAGAGGGCGCACGGCCACACUGGAACUGAAACACGGUCCAGACUCCUACGGGAGGCAGCAGUGGGGAAUUUUGCGCAAUGGGGGAAACCCUGACGCAGCGACGCCGCGUGGAGGAUGAAGUCCCUUGGGACGUAAACUCCUUUCGACC